rnacentral:rRNA from 1 species
GACGAACGCUGGCGGCGUGCUUAACACAUGCAAGUCGAACGGAUCACAUGAUUUCGGUUGUGUGGUGAGCGGCGAACGGGUGAGUAACACGUGAGUAAUCUGCCCCGAACUCUGGGAUGACGACUCGAAAGGGUUGCUAAUACCGGAUAUUGAACUGUCGUCUUUGGGUGGUGGUUUGAAAGUUUUUUCGGUUCGGGAUGGGCUCGCGGCCUAUCAGCUUGUUGGUGGUGUAAUGGCCUACCAAGGCGUCGACGGGUAGCCGGCCUGAGAGGGCGACCGGCCACACUGGGACUGAGAUACGGCCCAG